AGAGUUUGAUCCUGGCUCAGAUUGAACGCUGGCGGCAUGCCUUACACAUGCAAGUCGAACGGCAGCACGGGUGCUUGUACCUGGUGGCGAGUGGCGAACGGGUGAGUAAUAUAUCGGAACGUACCCUAGAGUGGGGGAUAACGCAGCGAAAGUUGCGCUAAUACCGCAUACGAUCUACGGAUGAAAGUGGGGGAUCGCAAGACCUCAUGCUCAUGGAGCGGCCGAUAUCUGAUUAGCUAGUUGGUGGGGUAAAAGCCUACCAAGGCAUCGAUCAGUAGCUGGUCUGAGAGGACGACCAGCCACACUGGAACUGAGACACGGUCCAGACUCCUACGGGAGGCAGCAGUGGGGAAUUUUGGACAAUGGGCGCAAGCCUGAUCCAGCAAUGCCGCGUGAGUGAAGAAGGCCUUCGGGUUGUAAAGCUCUUUUGUCAGGGAAGAAACGGUGAGGGCUAAUAUCCUUUGCUAAUGACGGUACCUGAAGAAUAAGCACCGGCUAACUACGUGCCAGCAGCCGCGGUAAUACGUAGGGUGCAAGCGUUAAUCGGAAUUACUGGGCGUAAAGCGUGCGCAGGCGGUUAUGUAAGUCAGAUGUGAAAUCCCCGGGCUCAACCUGGGAAUGGCAUUUGAGACUGCAUGGCUAGAGUGCGUCAGAGGGGGGUAGAAUUCCACGUGUAGCAGUGAAAUGCGUAGAGAUGUGGAGGAAUACCGAUGGCGAAGGCAGCCCCCUGGGAUAACACUGACGCUCAUGCACGAAAGCGUGGGGAGCAAACAGGAUUAGAUACCCUGGUAGUCCACGCCCUAAACGAUGUCUACUAGUUGUCGGGACUUAAUUGUCUUGGUAACGCAGCUAACGCGUGAAGUAGACCGCCUGGGGAGUACGGUCGCAAGAUUAAAACUCAAAGGAAUUGACGGGGACCCGCACAAGCGGUGGAUGAUGUGGAUUAAUUCGAUGCAACGCGAAAAACCUUACCUACCCUUGACAUGUACGGAACCUCUGAGAGAUUAGAGGGUGCUCGAAAGAGAGCCGUAACACAGGUGCUGCAUGGCUGUCGUCAGCUCGUGUCGUGAGAUGUUGGGUUAAGUCCCGCAACGAGCGCAACCCUUGUCAUUAGUUGCUACGAAAGGGCACUCUAAUGAGACUGCCGGUGACAAACCGGAGGAAGGUGGGGAUGACGUCAAGUCCUCAUGGCCCUUAUGGGUAGGGCUUCACACGUCAUACAAUGGUACAUACAGAGGGCCGCCAACCCGCGAGGGGGAGCUAAUCCCAGAAAGUGUAUCGUAGUCCGGAUUGUAGUCUGCAACUCGACUACAUGAAGUUGGAAUCGCUAGUAAUCGCGGAUCAGCAUGUCGCGGUGAAUACGUUCCCGGGUCUUGUACACACCGCCCGUCACACCAUGGGAGCGGGUUUCACCAGAAGUAGGUAGCCUAACCGCAAGGAGGGCGCUUACUACGGUGGGAUUCGUGACUGGGGUGAAGUCGUAACAAGGUA
rnacentral:rRNA from 1 species